UACGUAGGUGGCAAGCGUUGUCCGGAUUUACUGGGCGUAAAGAGCGCGCAGGCGGUCGUUCAAGUCGCGUGUGAAAGCCCCCGGCUCAACUGGGGAGGGUCACGCGAUACUGAUCGACUCGAAGGCAGGAGAGGGUAGUGGAAUUCCCGGUGUAGUGGUGAAAUGCGUAGAUAUCGGGAGGAACACCAGUGGCGAAGGCGGCAUCCUGGCCCUGACCUGACGCUGAGGCGCGAGAGCGUGGGGAGCAAACGGG
rnacentral:rRNA from 1 species